GGCAAUGCCACCCGGACUAGGCGGACGGCACAGCAGGGUCUCACUUUAGGACCCACCUCUCAGCAUCUCUGCCGAGAAGGUCAAGAUGGUGCAACCUUGAAGAUGCUUACAAGGAUGGGCUGGCCUGGAAAGGCUUCUGCAGCUGGCAUAGCUACAGUCUGGAACAUCAGUGACGUUCAGGCAGACUUCCUGGAGGAGAAGCAUCCUGGGCCGCAUAGGCUCCUGCAGGACAUUGACAAGGAGGCUGCUCCAGUCCGAGCUGGUGGACCGGCCAGAUCCACGGCAUCACCUGCGACUGAGAGCCGGGUUCCCACUUCCAUGGGAGCUCCAUGUUCUCCAGUCCUUCCGGCCUUGACCAGAGCGCAGGGCUGGGUCAGGCGAAGAGCAGGCGGGCACCGGGUCUGCUGUGCUUGUGACUCACUGCUUAGAACAGCAUGGGGUCACGACCUUCUUCUCCCUGAGCCUUGGCGUGAAGGACGUUCUAGAAGGUAAGUCCCCAGCCCAGUCCUGCCCAGCCUCCUGCCUGGGGGGCCUGGCUGUGCUUCUUUCCCC
rnacentral:lncRNA from 1 species